rnacentral:rRNA from 1 species
GACGAGCGCUGGCGGCGUGCCUAAUACAUGCAAGUAGAACGCUGAAGAGAGGAGCUUGCUCUUCUUGGAUGAGUUGCGAACGGGUGAGUAACGCGUAGGUAACCUGCCUGGUAGCGGGGGAUAACUAUUGGAAACGAUAGCUAAUACCGCAUGAUAUUAAUUGUCGCAUGAUAAUUAAUUGAAAGAUGCAAUUGCAUCACUACCAGAUGGACCUGCGUUGUAUUAGCUAGUUGGUGAGGUAACGGCUCACCAAGGCGACGAUACAUAGCUGACCUGAGAGGGUGAUCGGCCACACUGGGACUGAGACACGGCCCAGACUCCUACGGGAGGCAGCAGUAGGGAAUCUUCGGCAAUGGGGGGAACCCUGACCGAGCAACGCCGCGUGAGUGAAGAAGGUUUUCGGAUCGUAAAGCUCUGUUGUAAGAGAAGAACGGGUGUGAGAGUGGAAAGUUCACACUGUGACGGUAUCUUACCAGAAAGGCGG